CCAAAAUUGUAGGGGCAAAAGCCCUGCACGAGAAUGCUGAGCAGCUCGUAGUAGAUGAGCCAGUAGGAGAGGUGACGGCGUCGCCAGCAGACGAGGUCGAGGAGGACGC
rnacentral:rRNA from 1 species